rnacentral:rRNA from 1 species
UACAGAGGGUGCAAGCGUUAAUCGGAAUUACUGGGCGUAAAGCGCGCGUAGGCGGUUUUGUAAGUCGGGUGUGAAAUCCCCAGGCUCAACCUGGGAACUGCAUUCGAGACUGCAUAGCUAGAGUAUGGGAGAGGGAAGUGGAAUUUCAGGUGUAGCGGUGAAAUGCGUAGAUAUCUGAAGGAACAUCAGUGGCGAAAGCGACUUCCUGGACCAAUACUGACGCUCAUGUGCGAAAGCGUGGGGAGCAAACAGG